rnacentral:rRNA from 1 species
AGAAUGAACGCUGGCGGCAGGCCUAACACAUGCAAGUCGAGCGAGGUAGCAAUACCUAGCGGCGGACGGGUGAGUAACGCGUGGGAACAUACCCUUUGGUACGGAAUAGCCUCGGGAAACUGGGAGUAAUACCGUAUGUGUCCAUUCACUGUAGAGGUGAUUGGAGAAAGAUUUAUCGCCAAAGGAUUGGCCCGCGUUGGAUUAGGUAGUUGGUGGGGUAAUGGCCUACCAAGCCGACGAUCCAUAGCUGGUUUGAGAGGAUGAUCAGCCACACUGGGACUGAGACACGGCCCAGACUCCUACGGGAGCAGCAGUGGGGAAUCUUAGACAAUGGGCGCAAGCCUGAUCUAGCCAUGCCGCGUGAUCGAUGAAGGCCUUAGGGUUGUAAAGAUCGUUUCGUGGGGAAGAUAAGUGACGGUACCCAAGGAACGAAGCCCGGCUAACUCCGUGCCAGCAGCCGC